AAAGUUCUAGAGCAGUUCAACCUCAGACAAAUACCCUGCCUUGAGCUUGUGCAGCUGGCCAUGCCUGAAAAGGUGAGAGGAUGUUUUGUAAAUACAGUGUCUGUAUGCCCCAUAGGUACUACUGUCUCCUUCUGUUUUGAUCUGUUUGAAUUCCGUAGUGCCUCACAAGCUGAACAGCAAAAUGACUGACAGUUCCCAUCAGCCUGUCACUCUGCUCCAGCCUCUCCCCUUAACCUGCAGCAUACUAUUGAUUGUGCAGUAUAGUUGGUGUUUUCCUUCAUCCCUUUGUUUGGUUCCUAGGUACUCAAUGACAUCUGAGGAAUGCAGCAGGAGGAGUUUAUUUUGGAGCUAGGAGAAAGCUCUAGAAGAGAAAGCAAUAAACCACCUUAUUCAUGCUCUUCUUAGAGUAGUUUCUUUUGUUAGCCUAUUUGUUACUGUAAGCAGUUAAAGUUAUUUAUGCCCUGAUUUUUUUUAAUGGUAAAGCCUUGUUCUCUACUAAUUAGAACAUAGAAAGAAGUUAACCAUUUAGCUUGAUUUAUGCCCUCAGCAGUUACUGCCCUCAGAAUUUAGAGUUCAACCAAAACAGCUGCAAGGUUUUCAGCAAAGAGGUUUGAGGAAAGUAUGUUUGUCCACAAUAUUUCAGUGUUUUCUUAAUAAUUCUGUCUUCAAGGCCCAUUAUUUGAAAACUUUGGGAAGUAUGGCUGUUAAAGGAAGAGACAAGGGCACGUUUUUGCUAUUUCUAGAAAGUAGACAGUUCGGUACAGAUGACAAAUUUUAGCCACUAAAAAUACCCCAAUGUACUACUGUGAAAACUCUCCCUUCUUUUGAGAAUAUGUAUGGCUUGACUGAGUCUGCACUCGCUGAUUAUGUGCUGCUGCAAGCUAUAGGGCCUCAAAAGGAUCUGCCCUAUAAAUGAUUGACUUCAGCUGCCCUCAGUUAUGCUUUCCAACUACCACGAUGCCCAAAGCACCUGCAGCAUUGAGAAAGCAGUGCAGGAUCCAUCUUGCUUUGGGAACACCCCUGCCAACCAUCAUGGGCAGGGGAUGAAAAGGAAUUCAGGAAUAAAAUACAGCACCACAAACCGCUGAUGUGCACCCACCAUCGAGAAGACCUUGACCACAUGGGAUGACACUGGAACCUGAAGUGAAGCUGAGAGAAGCCACGCCCAGGACAGUCAGCUGAAGCAGCCCGUGGGAUACUCAACACCAUAAAUGUCACGCCUGCCGUAUAAAGGGAUGAGGGCUUGCACAGGUCUCAAAGCAGCAGUGGUGAGUUGUGGGGCAAAAGAGCAGCACUGAGAAUCAAAGGAUGGUCUGUUCAGCUGAAAAACUGAAAGCCAUAACUGGCUGUGUCCUCAAAGGAAGACUUGCAUCUUGGAGUUAACAGAAAUGAGCAAAGCCUGUUUUCGAGACAGAGAGUUCACUUGGAUUAUUCGUAGAUGAAUCAGCAUGUCGUCAUCCCGAUACCUGACCUAUUCUGGGAUUACAAAAGCCCAUGGUCCUUUCAUAUGACAGAGGUCAGAAUUUACUGACACUGGUAGUAAGUGCAGAGAACAAAGCACCAAGGGAUGGUAUUGGUAGUCCAGAAUUAGCAAAGACUUCGGUAUGAAACAACUGGCAGUCACUCUGAGCUCAUGCAGGCUACAGAUUAUUAAUGCAAAGUGACGUUUUUAUUUCCACCUUUUGAAACUCCUCACCUUUGAGAACCCUACUGCUCUUUUAUAUAUUUCUGGGUUUAAUAGGAUAUUCACUUGCAUGUGCAGCGAACCUCAGACUCAGAAGAUAAUUUCCACAGACAUUCACAUAUCCCUCAGAGUAUCUUUAAAAAAUGCCUACCAAUACGCUACAAAGAUCUCUUAAGAACUCUCUUUUUAAAAAAAUAUUGUGGAAAAGAAUGGAAAAUAUGACUACAGAGAAACUGAAAACUUAUCUACAUGUGGGUUUUUUCUAAUGCUGAACUGUGUAUUGUUGCAUGUCCUCCAACAAUUCCUGUGGGCCAUGAUUAAUUGCAGAUGUUAAUAAGAAUGAAUAUUAUCAUGCAAGAGUUACUACAUGAAUGUACCAAACAAGUUACAAGGCUUCCUCUGACAGUUGCCUUUACCAUGAGACCAACAAGCAAAACAAAACAACAGAAUUACUGAUGAGAGCAGAGGCACUUCAGAUAAGGCUAAAAGUCUGAUAUGCUUUUGUUUGCAGAGGAAUCCUUUGGAUAUAUUCCACUUGGUGUAAAUAGUUCUUCAAUAGAGCAAGUAGGUUAAUCAGACCAAGUAGGAAAUCGGUCUCAAGAAUCUUGAAUCUCUCAGAUGUGGUCAGUGAGUCACUUACUCAGACAAAACCUAGCC